rnacentral:rRNA from 1 species
UACGAAGGGGGCUAGCGUUGCUCGGAAUCACUGGGCGUAAAGCGCACGUAGGCGGAUUGUUAAGUCAGGGGUGAAAUCCUGGAGCUCAACUCCAGAACUGCCUUUGAUACUGGCGAUCUCGAGUCCGGGAGAGGUGAGUGGAACUGCGAGUGUAGAGGUGAAAUUCGUAGAUAUUCGCAAGAACACCAGUGGCGAAAGGCGGCUCACUGGCCCGGUACUGACGCUGAGGUGCGAAAGC